UACGUAGGGGGCGAGCGUUGUCCGGAUUCAUUGGGCGUAAAGCGCGGGCAGGCGGCCCGCUCAGUCGGCCGUGAAAGCGCCGGGCUCAACUCGGCGAGGUCGGGCGAUACUGGCGGGCUGGAGGCUGGUAGAGGGCGGUGGAAUUCCGGGUGUAGUGGUGGAAUGCGUAGAGCUCCGGAGGAACACCAGUGGCGAAGGCGGCCGCCUGGGCCAGUCCUGACGCUGAGCCGCGAAAGCGUGGGGAGCUAUCCGG
rnacentral:rRNA from 1 species